rnacentral:rRNA from 1 species
GACGAACGCUGGCGGCGUGCUUAACACAUGCAAGUCGAACGGAAAGGCCCUGCUUUUGUGGGGUGCUCGAGUGGCGAACGGGUGAGUAACACGUGAGUAACCUGCCCUUGACUUUGGGAUAACUUCAGGAAACUGGGGCUAAUACCGGAUAGGAGCUCCUGCUGCAUGGUGGGGGUUGGAAAGUUUCGGCGGUUGGGGAUGGACUCGCGGCUUAUCAGCUUGUUGGUGGGGUAGUGGCUUACCAAGGCUUUGACGGGUAGCCGGCCUGAGAGGGUGACCGGCCACAUUGGGACUGAGAUACGGCCCAGACUCCUACGGGAGGCAGCAGUGGGGAAUAGUGCACAAUGGGCGGAAGCCUGAUGCAGCAACGCCGCGUGCUGGAUGACGGCCUUCGGGUUGUAAACCGCUUUCGCCUGUGACGAAGCGUGAGUGACGGUAAUGGGUAAAGAAGCACCGGCUAACUACGUG